rnacentral:rRNA from 1 species
AACGAACGCUGGCGGCGUGCCUAACACAUGCAAGUCGAACGGAAACGCCCUGCUUUUGUGCGCUGCUCGAGUGGCGAACGGGUGAGUAACACGUGAGUAACCUGCCCUUCACUUUGGGAUAACUUCAGGAAACUGAGGCUAAUACCGGAUAGGAUCUCCCGCUGCAUGGUGGGCGUUGGAUAGUUUAGGCGGUUGGGGAUGUACUCGCGGAUUAUCAGCUUGUUGGUUGGGUAGUGGCUUACCAAGGCUUUGACGGGUAGCCGGCCUGGGAGGAUGACCGGCCACGUUACGACGGAGCUACGACACAGACUCGAAUGGGAGGCAACGGUGGAGAGUAUUACACAGUGGGAGGGAGGCUGGUGCGACAACGCCACGUGGGGGAAGACGGCCUGCGGGUAGUGAACCGCUGUCGCCUGAGACGAAGCGUGAGUGACGGUAAUGGGUAAAGAAGCACCGGCUAACUACGUG